GGUGUUUGAUCAUCAAUGUUAUAGUUCAACUGCCUGUAUAUGUUGGUUCUUCUGCAUAUUUAUGUGGUCACUGGUUCAGAAGGCGUGACUAAUAAGGCAUGCGAGGAACAAGAAACAUCUCUGUCAGAGCGUUGAUCCAUUCAUUCGUGUGUGACUGUGUGUCCAGCAACAGUACAAAUUCACCAAUCUGGCUGAUGACCUGUGUGUUGGGCCUGCGUCAAGAUUGGUGGCUGCCCCACCUUACCUCACCUGCACAUGU
rnacentral:lncRNA from 1 species